rnacentral:lncRNA from 1 species
AGAAGUCAAGAAUCACCAUGAGAUUGCAAACCUAGGAGAAUGGUAGAAUAGUGAUGCCAUUCAUAGAAAUGACAUGGACAGAAGAGGAAUGGGGUUAGGGGAAAAUAUGAGUUAUAUUUUGUACAUGUUGUGCUUGAGAUGCCUAUGAGACAUCCAAAAGGAGAUUUCCACAAGGCAUUUGGCGAUAUGGGUAGUAUAUGUGAAAGAUUAUCUAAAGAUGCAUAAUUUGGAAGUCAUUGGCAUCAAAAUGAAUUCACCAGUGACAGAAGCCAGUUGUCUCUGGCAAAUGCCAUUAGGUCAUUUUUUAGUGUUUUACUCACUGAAUUAUCCUUACUUCCUAUAUGGAGAGAAGAAUAUACAAGAGCAAAAGGAUAAAAGGAAAAGAUCUUCACUUUUCUGAAUGAGACAGUGGGACUAGAUGAUGUUCAAAGUCCUUUCCAGCACUAAAAAUGUUUCCAAUGGACAUCUGGAAAACAAAAGAAAAUGCAAAGGGGAAAAUCUAUUAUGUCUAUUAAGAAAACCUGUUUUCAUCUUUACUUAGAGAAUGUUGAUGCAGCAUUUGUUGACAUUCAUGAAUUCUGUCAAUAUUCCAGUUAUCACUGAACUGUUUGUAUAUGAGUUUAUCUGAUGAGAAAAUAACCUAUUCCUGUUUAUAGAAUCCAAGCCUCCCUCCCAGAUCCAUGUUCAAGUUGCUCUGGAUUCUUUGAGUUGAUGUCAGUCUUAAACAACAAAUCAGAACAUCAGUAGUCUAUUACUUCAAAUUUUGAAUAGCAUUAUAUACACAUUGGUCAGGAUAAAUCUCUGAAUACAAACUCAUGCAGUACUUUAAAAAGUCAUCUCUUUCCCCUGCUUUAAGCUUGCAUUGUAUUUAGACUAAUAGUCCUGAAGUCUCAGACUUGCUCUAUGAGUAUAUUCUAUGGGACUCAUUUUUCUUACUUAUAAGAUGAGAACCUCAAAUGUUCCUAUCAAUACUUAAAUAAUCAUGACCUUUCCCAAGAUGUAAAAUGACAUAUUACUACCACUUUCCCAUCUGUCUCCUUUAUCUUAGUUUUGCCCUUAUGCACAGAAUUAAAGUUCAUUAAUUUCUACGGUGUGCUUACAUCUACGAAUCUUUCAGUGUUAUGAUAGGAAAUCAUUUAAGCUUCUUUGUAUAUUUUCCCCUAAACCUAGAAUGAUUCCAGAAAUAAGACUGCGAUUCCUCAGGUUGAACUUGUUUGCUCAUUUUUGGUUUUGCAAAAUGUCUCAAUCCAAGAAAGUAAAAAAAACUAAAAGGAAAUGGAUGAUGGUAAGUUUUCAUCAUGGUAAAUUUAUUAGCUAACUUUAAUUAUGUGUAUUUUCACAUUCUAACCACUGAAUGAUGAGACUAUUUGGAACCUCAAUUGUAAGCAAGAAAACUAGAGAAACCCAUAUGGUGAUUUGACAAAGCUCCAAGGACAAGAAUUCAACAAA